rnacentral:rRNA from 1 species
AACGAACGCUGGCGGCAGGCUUAACACAUGCAAGUCGAACGGUUGUAGCAAUACAGCAGUGGCGCACGGGUGAGUAACGCGUGGAUAUCUGCCUUUUGGUUCGGAAUAACUCCGGGAAACUGGAGCUAAUACCGGAUGGUUCCUACGGGAUAAAGAUUUAUCGCCAAAAGAUGAGUCCGCGUACGAUUAGCUAGUUGGUGGGGUAAUGGCCCACCAAGGCGACGAUCGUUAGCUGGUCUGAGAGGACGAUCAGCCACACUGGGACUGAGACACGGCCCAGACUCCUACGGGAGGCAGCAGUGGGGAAUAUUGGACAAUGGGGGCAACCCUGAUCCAGCCAUGCCGCGUGAGUGAUGAAGGCCUUCGGGUUGUAAAGCUCUUUUGGCGGGGACGAUGAUGACGGUACCCGCAGAAUAAGCCCCGGCUAACUUCGUGCCAGCAGCCGCGGUAAGAC